GCUGUCAAUAAGACGUGGACCUGCGAGCCGGGGCAAAAGGGCUUCCGGUCUGCGGGAAACUGGAGGCUAGCGGUGGGCGUGGACCGUCGAGGUGACUGGCGGUUGUCGGAUCUGCUGUUGUUUGCUGACCAGGCAGCCGUAGGAAGACUUGACUGAGCCAGGCUCAGGGGAUGUGCCAGGCUCUGGGGAUACUAUGAAAGCUAAAAGAUACACAAUCCCAGCUGUCAUGGAGCAAAGAGUUUACGAGAGAGAGACUGAUGCUAAUCAAAGAAGGACACUAACAAAUGAACCAUUGUAUAGCUUUGCCAAGGACCGUGAAGGAGAGAGACACAGCUCUGUGAAGGGGCUUUGAUGUAGGGAGGCAGCAGACGUGCAGCUGAAGCUGUCUUGGAGCCUCUAGACCAGCCCAUCCACCUGCUGAAUACCAGU
rnacentral:lncRNA from 1 species